rnacentral:rRNA from 1 species
AGAACGAACGCUGGCGGCGCGCUUAAGCAUGCAAGUCGAGCGGCAAGAUGCCUCCGGGCGAUCCUAGAGCGGCGGACGUGGUGAGUAACACGUGGAGUGACGCACCCUCCCGACCGGGGAUUAGCCGUGUGGAAACGAACAGGGUAAUACCGGAUAAGGCCGCCAGGGCGUGGAGCCUGGCGGGAAAGGGGCGUACUUGCCCCGCGGGAGGAGCGGUCCGCGGCCCAUCAGCUGGUUGGCGGGGUAAAGGCCCGACCAAGGCGAUGACGGGUAUCCGGCCUGAGAGGGUGAGCGGGCACAUUGGGACUGAGAUACGGCCCAGACUCCUACGGGAGGCAGCAGCUAAGAAUAUUCCGCAAUGGGCGAAAGCCUGACGGAGCGACGCCGCGUGGACGAUGAAGGCCCGGAAGGUUGCAGAGUCCUUUGGCGCCUGAGGAAGGAGCGCGGGAGUGGAAAGCCCGCGCGGUGACUGUAGGGCGAGAACAAGCACCGGCUAAUUACGUGCCAGCAGCAGC